AUGACAUGACAAGAGUAUUUUUAAAUUUUAAUGAUUUUUAAAAGAAAAAAUCAGAAGAAUGUUGUCCAAUAUUCUAUAAUGAUAACACUAAUAAUAUAUUUUAUUUAUAGAGCACUUUUCAUUGCUAAAAGCAAUCUCAAAGUGCUCUUUCUAUGGUCCCUGUUUCCCGGUUCUCAUACAGCUGUUUCAUACUAAAUAAAUUGUGUGCCUCAGAUCUGGUUACACUGUUUGUAACACGCAGGUUCUCACUGGCUGGAUCCAACAGGAAAAGAGCAGAGCUAAAAACCAUCGCCUAUUGGAGAGACUGGCUCCUGCAGGUGGAGGAUGGCGCAUCCCCGCUGAGCCUGGGAGAUGUCCUUAUUUUUUCCACUGGACUAGACAAAAUCCCAGCAAUGGGAUUUCCCACUCAGCCGGAGCUGGAAUUUCUCCAUCCUGAAGAUGGACCGGCCAUGUUCCCAAUGGCAAAUACAUGUGGACCAGUACUGCGCCUGCCUGUACAGUCAACAUUCCCCAAAUUUGAAAGUGCUAUGGAAAUGGGGAUUGGGGGCGCAAUUCAAUUUGGCAUACAGUGAAAAAAAUUUCAGCCGUGCUCUCAGUUUUUGUUGUUUCAGUUGUUCCAAAUCUUUUUCAGUUUUUUAUAAAAAAAAUUGGAUUGACAGAGAAAAUGUAGAGUCUAACUCUCAAGUUUUUGACUUUUGUUUUGUUCCAACCCACCAAACGGAAUCCUGGGUGUGUUCUACUGCGAUGUUCUUAUUAUUUUUUUCGUUGUGAAUAUAAGUUGUGUUGUUAAUUUCCAAUAUAUGUGAUUAAUAAGGUGCAGCGUUGUUUUUUCUUUUCUUUUAAAUUCUUGCCCUGUUGUAUGUGGCACUGUUAUAGGCUGGCGACCUGUCCAUGUGUGAGUGAAUAAAUAAAUUUACAGACAUUUUUCUCACAAGUUA